CAGUUUCUCUUUCAGACACUGGAAUGUGAAGCAUUACAGUUCAAGUGAAAAAUAUAACUUCCCCAUGCUAAACACAGAGGGCAUGUGGCAAACCAAACCAUGUUUUGAGCAAAAACCCUUCUUCUGUUACACAGGUGAUCAUUUAUAUUCAAUGACACAAAAGUAAACUUACUUUGAUUCAACUACUGUUGUUGAUAAAAAUCAACAUACAAACUGCACAUUCUCUGCAAAAACCUCACAUGUGUAAAAGCCCCAAAAUUUGUCUGUUUCUGUUCAUUUGGAUUACUUCCUUUAUUGUUCUGUAUUUUAACAGUUUUCUGAGCAAAAGAUUUUGGGGAACAUCUAAAAAUCUGACACUGGGUCUUGGUAAUCUCUUCCACUGAAGUUAGUCAUGUUGUAUUUCUCAGAAGCAUUUUUUUCAUCCACUUUUUCUUGUUUGUCUCUAAUGACUUGUUUUUUUCUUUUCUUUCACCAUUUCAGAUGUGAGAAACCAUUAACAUGAUGAUGAUUUCCUUUCAUCAGAUCAUGUGUGUCACGACGAGCGUAACGAAUAGACCCAGACGCUGGAACCCGGAAGAAACACAGGUGAGUACGUGGUGGAAUGAAAGAAGGUUUUAAUAUUGAUUCUUGGUUUGUGGAUUGUUCUUGGUGGAGUUGACGUCCUUGGAGGAACCCGCGGCGAGGAUGGUUCGGUCCGGUGGCCCGUGGCGUCACUGGUGGGUCGGCAGAGGCUCGUGGUGUCUCUAGAGUUACGGCAGAGGCUCUAGGCGUGACAGGACGGAAUGCUGUGGCUUGGAUCCGUGGAUGAAGAAGACUCAGACGACCACUCGUGUUUAUGGAUUCCUGGGAACAAGGGGCAACGGACUGGCGAUGAAUACUGGUCCAGGGGCUCCUUAAGAAGACAGGCAGGUGAUGAGGUAAGUGGUCGCAGCUGAGUCGCAUCAGGAACCAAGCAGAGAGGGGAGGAGUCUGACAGAGGCACCAUGACAAUGUGGUUCUGAUCAAAGAGAACAGGAUUUGGGAGGAGGCCUUAUACUACUGCAGACAUCACCACCAUGACCUGGUCACCAUCACUAACCCGGAGGACCAAAUUUUGGUCCAGGAGAAAAACCAAGAAUGCCUCCUCUCCCUUUGUGUGGACUGGACUGCGCUACACCUGCACUCUGGGGUUCCGGAUCUGGGUCAGUGAUGAGGUGGUCCGCUACAAGAACUGGGCCUCACCUGAACAGGUGAAUGAGUGUGACAUGUCAGGAGCCAUGGCGACAGGAGGAGAACACAAGUGGUUCAAGAAACAUGAUGAGGAGAAGUUCAAUUUUAUCUCUUCAAAGUGAAAAUCUGUUCAAUGAUCACAAGCUUUAUCUUUUGUUUAUUAACUAAGAUUUUUUUUUAAUUCUAAAACAUCUGGCAAAGCAAUUUUUUAGGGUUGAGGAAGCGGUUUGCUGUUUGGAUGUGAUUUACCAUCCAUCUAUCUUCAUAACUUUUGGGGUCAUGGGGAUGUUGGAGCCUGAUGGGUGCUACUGUUGGGUGAAGAUGCGGUGUGGACCGAUGUGGUGUACUUUUACUUUAAUUUCUUGGAGAGAAACACAUGAUUAUAUGCUAUCAUUUGUACAUCUGCAUAUUAUAUUUUUUACAUGAUGAUUGCUUUGCAAAAUAUAUGCAUAUUUUACAUUUAGAGUUAAUCUCUGUAUAAACAAAUUCCAGUCAUUAAAAGGUUACACAACUGCAAAUCAUUUGGUUUUCCUAGUUUUUACCAAAAAAAAAACAUUAACUUUCACAAUCUUUUAUGCUCUGAAAUAUCUUUCAAGGAAUGUGAAACACUGAAUUCAUAACCAGAAUACUAAUAUUCCUGUUUGUUUGUGUAUUUUUCAUUUUAACAUUAAAAGAACUUGAGUGUGUGACUUAAA